UGUCGCGCUUGAUAGGUCAACGUACGAGUAUGAGGAUGGGAUCAAAAGUAAUGCCACUGGCUAUUGAUAACCGCUAUUUUUAGCGCGAGUACAAAAUUCACGCCUUGCACCUGUUCCCCGUUGUAAUAGCUUUCAAUCGACGUAUAAACUAUACAUGUAGACACAAUAUCACGCUCACAAUUCACAUUUGCACAAACCCUACUCGUAGGCGGUUAGGCAAAAUGGUUGGUAAAAGUGUAAAAAAAUGAGAACGAAAUUAGGUCUUACAUUAAGACUUGCGCUUCACUCGGAAGAGGUUUAAAGGACAUUUAUGCUGACAUGUGUGCUGUUUAUGGUAGUAAUGAAAUGUCCUUUUCAACAGUUUGCAGAUGGAUUAAGAAAUUUUGUGCAGGCGUGGAGUCUGUCAAAAUUGUGCCUAAAACUGGUCGACCUAAGUCUGCAAGUAAUCCAAGGAUUGUUGAAAAAAUCAAACAAAUAGUACUUUCUGACGCAAGAUAUACUUCUCAGCAGAUUGCGGGCAUGGUUGGCAUUUCAAAAGCAUCUGUGUUGUGCAUUCUGCGAAAUAUUUUGAAAUUGAAGAAGAAAUGUGCUAAAUGGGUCCCGCAUUUGCUCAAUGAUGAGCAAAAACGCACGCGCGUUAAGAUGGCGCGCAAGCUUUUGAAAAGGUUUCCAAGAUACGAUCAAAAAACAUUUAUGAAUGUAGUAACAGGUGAUGUGUCUUGGAUACAUUUCUUCGAACCGCAUCGAAAAAUUAGUAACCGAGUAUGGCUCACCAAAAAUGCCAGAAGGCCUUGCAUUGCCAAAAGGAUUGCAAGUGUGAAAAAGACCACCAGAGGAAGUGGUGAGAGACUGACAAUGAUGUACUGAACGAGCAUGGUGGAAAGACAAUAUAAUCAAAUGGGGGUUUCUCAUUAGCCUAACUUGUGUAUAGUCUGUUUUGAUAGAGAGCCUACAGGGUAUUUUUAUCUAUGCGGCCAUACUGCCUGUAUACCUUGUGCACUACAUAUUUCCAAAAACACUGUGGGAAGAAAUGCCCUAAAUGUGGGGUUAAAUUGAAGCUGUCAGAAACAUUUAUAACUAGAAAGUAUUUGAUAAUAUAACAGCAAUUUCGAUAUAAUUACAAUCAAGGUAGAUACUGAAGAGUGCGAAGCAUUUUAAGUUUGUUUACUUCUUUCAAUGUAGGACACAAUGGAGAAAUGUUUACAUGCUUCUUGAAUUUGGAAUGUUAGAAACCGAUGCGUUUCUGGAUAUAAAGGCAGCAUCAAUGUUAAGUCAUUGACAUCUUAUUAUAUAACGUUGAACCAGCUAUAAAGAUUCUACCAUCUUGUAUCUACUAAUUUAAAGGACAUUUUGUCUUUGUUUAUAUUGUACAUAAUGACACGUACAUGGCAUACCUGUAAAGAUACACAUGAAGGUUUAUAUUUGUUUCCUUAAUAUGUGCUGUAUUAGGUAUAGGCAAUAUCUAUAAUGUUAUUAGUUUGUUUUUGAAUCAUAUAUUAUCAGAAGAACAAGAGUAAAAGUUGAAUAAAAGUUUCCCUGUUAA